UAGUAACAAAGAAACAGAAUUUUCGAGGAUGGGGCCCAGAAAUCAGGAUUUUACAAAGAUUCCCAGGUGAUUCUAAUGUGCAGCCAAGGUUGAGAACCACUGGUGUAGGUGAUCCCACCGCACACCGAGGCUGAAGCAGCACUAUCCUAGAGACGAUCUCCAAUUAAGUGGUCCUUUCCAGGGCUACUGUGAUGAUCUUGGAUAUUCCUAGCAAUUACUCUUAGCAGAAUUUCAAAGCACCAGAGAUUAGAGCAAAAUGCACAGAAAGAAAAUAUUCCUAUGACAUAAACAAGAUCUACUCUGGCAAAAAGAAACAAACCCCAUACCGUAUGGUAAAGAAGUAAUAAUAACUUGCACACAAGAAAAAUUCUUACUACAAAAAAAAAAAAUUCCUUUCAUAGAAUGUUCAUUCUGGCAUCGCUGUAAGUACACAGGCACUGUUAAAUACCUAAGCAUUAAAUCAUGCCUUGAAACACUGGCGCAAACGCUAAAGGCAAAUUCAAACAGGAUUUUUCAUGCUGGGGAUGUAUGAACAACAUAAAAAGAGCAGUACUGGGUUUGAAGCCAGGAAAAAACCACCACGUUAGUAAAUCACUUCACUUUUGGGGGUCGGGGAUGAGGGAGGUUUGUCUCAGUUUCUACCUCAUCUACGAGGAAUCGUAAAAGUUAGUCUAAUUAACAGUGGUAAGAGGUACAUAAGCUCACGUAAGCUGUUUCUCAAAUGCGAAAAUUACUCUUCCCCAGCCUGAGAAUAAGAUGACCUCUGGCCACGCUUCCUUUCCCCCUGAGACUCUCUCCAACCCUCUCCGAGGAGGGAGGUGCGGAGGGUUCGAGGUCCGCUGAGUUCGCGGCGGGACCACCUGGCAGCGAGGGGGCGGGGCGGGAGCCAGCCUUUGGGUUAAAGCCGCGGCGGCCCUCGCCUCCCAGCAGCAUCCCUCCCAGUUCCGGAGACACAGGUCCGGCUCAGCGUGCGCCGCGGAGCAGCUGGACCGUGCGGAGCUCCGUCCGCAGAGGAGCCCUUCCCGCUGGGCGCCCGGAACUCGGGGUCCUGGGUCCGGCCGGCGGGGUGGCCGAAGCCGGCAGCAAAGGUGCGGAAGAGGCAGAACUGCUUUUCUUUGGAUAACUGACUGAAGGAGUCUCCUGUGUAACAAAGAUGGAAGUCACAGUAUGUUGUUACAUACACUUAAAAAUAUCUCUCUAUGUACAGGAACUUGCAGAUCGAUGUAAACAUACAUUACUUCCCAAGUACAUUCCUCCCCUUCUUCCCAGAGGAAAAAGAAAAAAGCCAUCCAACCAGGCAACCCCUUUAAAAUAACUUUAAUACAAAGAUGUAAAUAUCUCUAAAUCAAAAAGGUUCUUCUGACCGACUGGGUGUCAUGGAAGAAAACACGGAAUGGAAGUGAUGACGACAGCUUGACUUCAGAUGGAACUGGACUGUUUAAAACUGUGUAUCCAGGAAAAAUAGGCACUGAUUUCUAGAAGGAAAUUCACUCCUUACGGAAGCUAUUUAUUGAGCCAAUAUGGCUGGUUAACAUUUUCACUAGUAUAGUCACCCAGUGCAGGACGCGGCCCUCAGCCGACACCAGCACAGCCGGGCGGCCCGGGCACUGCCGAGGCUGUCCCCACUCCGGGCCUGGAGGACCAUCUGAUCCAUCUCCCGGGCCUGGUCCAUGUCUUCCCAUACUGCAACUGUCCAGCAUGAUACAAGGUACCCUGCUGCUUCCUCACUUCAACUACCCUUCAAGGUCUGGCCUCAAUGCCCGUGACACCGCCUGAGACCCGAAGCGCCCUUGCUUUCUCCUCUCCUGGUGCCAUGGAUGCUGCAGUCUCCUCCACGCUCGGGACAUGCUCCUGCAGCUGAGAUGCCCUCACCCCUAUGCACACCCACGGGCCUGUCUUCUGUCUCCGGCAAAGGAAAGGAUUCAGAGGUGCCAGCCCAUAGGCUUCUCUUCUGCGUUACUGCUCUUGACAGCCACCAGGAGGAGCCACACGUCUCCCAGGCUGGACGAGCAAUCUUCCAGGUGGAAGCAGGAGGAUACAAUUCCCAUGCCAGGAAUGCUUCUUGUCACUGGAUAAAGCCCAAAUCUCCAUAAUACAGCCUUCUGUUUUUAUACGA